rnacentral:lncRNA from 13 species
ACACAUUUGUAAAAGUGACCUAGGUUCUCAAUAUGUCUUCCCUGUUAAAAUAAAGGUGAAAUAAAUGUAAUUGAUAAGUUUGAGCAACUUUGAUUUGGCCUUCUUCUUCUUCUUCAUCUUCAAUUGAAUCUUCAUCAAAACCAAGCCAACCUGUCACGACUUCCGCCGAAGUUGGCUCCCCUGCCUGUUCGGGCGGUGCUCGGCGGUCGUCGUCACCGUCCUACUAGCCGCUACCGAUCCCUUUUUCGUUUGUCUGUUGGUUUUGUCUUAUUAGUUUCCCCUGUGUGUAUUCUGGUUUAAUUAGCUUCCCUGUAUGUAGUAGUUUGACCCGCCCUUGUUUUGUGCUGGAUUGUCUUUUUGUUACGUGUGUACAUAUUAGGUCGUGGUGUAUUUUAUUUUCUAUACUGGACACCCUGUGGUUUUGGGUUGUCUGGUAUAGUGUCCUGCGCACUGUAUUGUAUUGGGCUUAUCAGUUUGGUGUGCUAUAGUAAAGCACUCUACUCCGUUACUCUCUCUCUGCGUCUGAUUCCUGCACACACACCUAGACCCGCGUGACACAACCACACACAGACAAUUUUUCAGCCAAUAAAUUCAGAUGAGUUUAUUUUAUUAUCUCGCAUUAUCAAAGCCCAACACCAUACAGUGUGCAACAUAUUACCACAACAAUGCACCAUGGUACAUACAGUGUGCAACAUAGUACCACAACAAUGCACCAUGGUACAUACAGGUACAUGGUCCACACCGUGCCUUCAGUAUUCCUUGGCUGCCGGGCUGCUUGACUUAUUUCACAUUUUGUUGUGUUACAGCCUGAAUUCAAAAUUAAUUCAAUAUUUAUUAUUCUCACUCGUUUACACACAAUACCCCAUUAUGGCAAAGUGACAACGUGUUUUUAGAAAUGUUCUCAAAUGUAUUGAAAAUGAAAUUUUUUAAAUAUCUCAUUUACAUAAGUAUUCACACAAUACAUGUUAGAAUCACCUAUGACAGUGUUUACAGCUGUGAGGUGUUUCUGGGUAAGUCUCUAAGAGCUUUCCACACCUGGAUUAUAAAUUGACUGUGAAUCAUUGCUAGACAGCCAUUUUCAAGUCUUGCCACAGAUUUUCAAGCCGAUUUUCAAGUCAAAACUGUAACUAGGCCACUCAGGAACAUUCAAUGUCGUCUUGGUAAGCAACUCCAGUGUAUAUUUGGCCUUGUGUUUUAGGUUAUUGUCCUGCUGAAAAGGUGAAUUUCAAGUCAAUUUCAAAUUAAAUUUGAUUUGUCACAUAUAAAGGUGCCUUGUCACAACAACUGACUGGCUCAAACGCAUUAAGAAGGAAACAAAUUCCACAAAUUAACUUUUAACAAGGCACACUUGUUAAUUGAAAUGCAUUCCAGGUCACUACCUCAUGAAGCUGGUUAAGAUAAUGCCAAGCAUGUGCAAAGCUGUCAUCAAGGCAAAGGGUGGCUACUUUGAAGAAUCUCAAAUCUAAAAUAUAUUUCAAUGUGUUUAACACUUUUUUUGGUUACUACAUGAUUCCAUAUGUGUAAUUUCAUAGUUUUGAUGUCUUCACUGUUAUUCUACCAAGUCACAACACAACUGACUGGCUCAAACGCAUUAAGAAGGAAGGAAAUUCCAAAAAAUUAACUUUUAACAAGGCACACUUGUUUAUUAAAAUGCAUUCCAGGUCACUACCUCAUGAAGCUGGUUGAGAGAAAGCCAAGCGUAUGCACUUGAAGAAACUUCCAAAGUUCUUGAAAUGUUCCGUAUUGACUGACCUUCAUGUCUUUAAGUAAUGAUGGACAGUCGUUUCUCUUUGCUUAUUUUAGCUGUUCUUGCCAUAAUAUGGUCUAGAGAAGAUAUCCCUAUUUGAUAAAAUAUCAAGUCCAUCCGUGUCAGCGUGCACUGCGCCCAGCCCGCCACAGGAGUCGCUAGUACGCGAUGGGACAUCCCUGCCCGGCCAAACCUGCCGGCAACUACAAUGUUGCUACAUUUUAACUCCUGAACUUAUUCAGGUUUGCCAAUAACAAAAUGGAUUUAAUACUUGACUCAAAACAUUUCAGCUUUUCAUUUUGUAAUUCAUUUGUAAACUUCAUUCCACUUUGACGUUAUAGGGUAUUGUGUGUAGGCCAGUACAAUACAACUGUCAUGUACUGUCAUGUUGUGUCUUGUCUCUGUCCUUUCCCUUCACCCUGUCUCCCUCUGCUGGUCGUUGUUAGGUUACCUUUUCUCCCCCGCUUUCCACCAGCUGUUCCUUGUCUCCUCUGACUACCCAUUCACCCCGUUUCCCACCUGUUCCCUUUUUCCCUCUGAUUAGGUCCCUAUAUCUCUCUCUGUUUCUGUUCCUGUCCUUGUCGGAUUCUUGUUUGUUGUGUUUCAUGCCUGAGCCAGACUAUCGUCAUGUUUGCUGUAACCUUGUCCUGUCCUGUCCGAAUCUGCCGGUCUAUCUGAGCCUACCUAUGUUUGGUUAUUAAAGAAGCUCUGUUUAAGUUAGUUCGCUUUUGGGUCCUCAUUCACUCACCGUAACAGAAGAAUCCGACCAAGAAUGGACCCAGCGACUUCGGAUCCUCUCCACUCAGCCGUCGGGAUCCAGGGAGCGAUGCUA